rnacentral:lncRNA from 11 species
GAUCUCCUUUUUAUAUGUGUUGUCACGUAUCUUAUAGUUAUACAUGUUGUUUUUCCUGCAUUAUUUUAACAUCUUACAUUUAUCCUUGUUGAAACACAAUCAAUUUUGUUAGUUAUGUUCCACUCUAAUUAAUUCAAGAUCAUUUUGAAUCCUGAUUCUAUAUUAUGGGGUAUUAUCUACCAGUACUAAUUUGGUUUCAUCCAGAUAUUUGAUAAGCAUGCCUUCAGUCAUAUCAUCCAAGUCAUUUCUAAAAAUGCUGAACAAAACCAGUCUCAAAACAGAAACCUGUAGAAUCCCAAGAGCCAGUUUUCUCAAUGAUGAUGAACUAUGGUUGUGCAUUCUUUGGGUUCAUUGAGUCAAUCAGUAACUAAUCCACCCAACAGCAGCAUUCCCUAGCUCACAUUUUACCAGCUUGUCAGCAAGAAUAAAAAGAGGACAUAGCCAAAAGCUUUAGUGAAAUCAAGAUGCAUUACAUAUAUCAUUACAUUACAUGUACAGUGUUUUAUCUAAAAGACAGAGAUAAGAUUAGUUUGGCAUAACUUGUUUCAGCGAAACUGUUGCUGGCUCUUAGUAAUCACGGCAUUCCUUUCUAAUUGCUCACAAAAUGACUAUUCAGUGAAAAUGUUCUCAAACUUUUCCUGGUUGUCUGAUCAUGGGUUGCUUGGGUCCUCUUUUACCUUCUUUUUAAAGAUGGGUUGGUGCAGAGAUGCUGAAUUUUUUUUCAAGUGCAGAAUCAUCAUUCCUGGAGCGUUCCAGCAGAGAACAGCAAGGGCUCAUAAUGGCCCUGGAGACACUGGUGGCGCAGUGAGUUAAACCCUUGUGCCGGCAGGACUGAUGACUUGAAGACUGGGUUGCUGACCUGAAGGUUGCUGGUUCAAAUCCAACCCGGGGAGAGUGC